UUCUUACUGUGGAACGUCUCCGAAAGAAUUCUUCGUGGAAACCGUAUCUUGAUAUGCUUCCCACCACUUUUGGGAAUCCGUUAUGGUUUACUGAUGAUGAGAUACUGGAAUUAAGAGGAACAAUCUUGUAUAGAGCAACUGAAUUGCGGAAAAAAGAUUUG